GGCCUAGGUUGCCGAUGGUGCCUGAGGCUCCCGCACGACCAGGGGCCUAGGUUGCUGAUGGUGCCCGAGGCUCCCGCACGACCAAGGGCCUAGGUGCCAAUGGUGCCCGAGGCUCCCGCACGACCAAGGGCCUAGGUUGUCGAUGGUACCGAGGCUCUCGCACGACCAGGGGCCUAGGUUGUCGAUGGAGGCCGAGGCUCCCGCACGACCACGGGCCUAGGUUGCCGAUGAUGUCUGAGGCUCCCUCACGACCAAGGGCCUAGGUGCCGAUGGCGGCUGAGGCUUCCGCACGACCAAGAGCCUAGUUUGUCGAUGGUGCCAGAGGCUCCCGCACGACCAGGGGCCUAGGUUACCGAUGGUGCCCGAGGCUCCCGUACGACCAAGGGCGUAUGUUACCGACGAUGCCCGAGGCACACGCACAUCCCAGCACCAGGGUACCGAUGGUGCCCGAGGCUCCCGCACUACCAAGGGCCAAGGUGCCGAUGGUGCCCGAGGCUCCCGCAUGAACAAGGGCCUAGGUUGCCGAUGGUACCGAGGCUCUCGCACGACCAGGGGCCUAGGUUGCCGAUGGUGCCUGAGGCUGCUGCACGACCAAGGGCCUAGGUAACCAAUGGUGACCAAGGCUCCCGCACAUUCAAGCACCAAGGUGCCGAUGGUGCCAGAGGCUCCCAUACGACCAAGGGGCUAGGUGCCGACGGUGCCUGAGGCUCCCGCACGACCGACAUCCUAGUUCGCCGAUGGCGUCCAUGGCUCCAGCACGUCCAAGUAGGAAUGUGCCGAUGCUCCCGCACCAUCGACGUCCUAGGUUACCAAGGGUGCCUGAUGCUUCGGCACGACCAAGGGCCCAAGGUCCCGGAGGCUCUUAUUCCAAAAGGGGAGGAACCAAAAUGAUUCUAAAGGGGAGGGACCGGGACAACUUGUAGUAUCGUUUUCGAUAUUCUGGGAUGGCUCGCUGAAGCACUGCCAGAAUGGAUCGCCGGAGCACCGCCAGGAACCUAACCGGAGAUGGGGGCACCGACAUCUGGGCAUGAAAUGGGCGUGGGCAGUGCUCUGGACAACCCCUGUUCGCCUCAAUAUCACCUCCCCCCUAAAGAGUUAAAAAAACUUGGUCAAUCUGCUACCAGACGACAUUCAUGUGUCUGAAACAGGGACACUUUAUGGUGCCGACGCUUCUGCACCAACGGGGGCCCAAAAUUAGCUUUGGUGCUCGACCCUCCCGCACAUGCGAUGCAUCAAGGUGCCGAUGCUGCCCGAUGCUCCGACACAUCAAAGGGGUCGGUGGUGCCCGAUGGCCCCGCACCAUAGGAUGGCAUACACUGUCGAUAGUGUACGAGGCUACCGUACGACCGGGGGCCAAAGAUGCCGGAGGCUCUUGUUGCAAAAGGGAGGGAUAGGGACGAUUCAUUCAUUGUUGGGUACUGGACAUGCAACGGUAUCCGAAUCCUACCUUUGGGACUAUUCAUUCAUUAUUGGGUACCGAACAUGUAACGGUAUCUGAAUUCUACCUUUUGAGAUUGGGGAGUGACUCGUUGCGUCGUUUUGUAUAUCCCGGGAUGGCUCACCGAAUCAUCACCGGGAUGGAUCGUUGGAGCACUGCAGGGAACCUAACCGGUGGUGGGGGGCACCGAUGUCUGGGCAUGCGAUGGGCAUGGGUAGUGCCCUGGAUAACCCCUGGCUGCUCAAUAUCACUUCCCCCCUAAAGAGCUAAAAAAACUUGGUCAAUGUGCUACCAGUCGACAUUCAUGUGUUUGAAACAGGGACAGGUGUUCCAGAUGUCUGAAAUAGGGACACUUUUUCAGCCCAACGCUCCCGCACAUCUGAGGCACCAAGGUGCCGAUGUUGCCCGAUGACCCGCACCAUGGGAUGGCCUACGUUGCGGAUGUUGCCCGAGGCUCCCGUACAUGCCUGAAAUGGGGGCAAUUUUUUUUACGCCACUUACACUUAGUAUUUUUAAUUGAAAAUUUUUUCUAUUGGCCCAAAAGAAAUACAAGAAGCCGAAUGAAAUAUGGCAUGAUGGCACGGCAGAAAAUUGAACAAGUGCCCGGGCUUCCAAUAGUUGGGAGCUCGCAGUCGCACCACCACGACCCCCGUUGUGCCAUGUUUCUCGAGUAGGUGGCACGACCAAGUGCUUAACUUAGAAAUUUUUUCUGUUGGCCCAAAAAAAAUACAAGAAGUACGGCAUGGCAUGGCACGGCAUGGCACGGCACAGCAGAAAAUUAAACAAGUGCCCUAACCGCCGACACUUGAGAGCUCGCACCAACACCACCACGGCCCCCGUUGUGCCAUGUUUCCCGAGGGGGCGGCAUGGCCAAGUGUUUAACUAACUCCUUACACUAAGUCCCCCACUUGGGGACCCCAGGGUCGGGACGUGCAAAAGAACAAGGGUGGAUCGGAAGAGAGAUAGGGGAGGGACGAAUCGAAGCGACAAAGGGCUGAAUCUCAGUAGAUCGUGGUAGCAAGGCCGCUCUGCCACUUACAAUACCCCAUCGCAUUUUUAAGUCUUCUGCAAAAGAAUUCUACCCGUCGCUCUGUGGAAAUUAUGCUCCAAGGAGGCACCCGCGACUUGUCUGCCACAGUCGUUGCACCUACGACACGUACCCUUGGGGGCCAAAGGCCAUUACUGAGGGUCGGGAAUCGGGCGACAGGCGCGUGCGUCGCUUCUAGCCCUGAUUUUAACUUAGAGGCGUUCAGUCAUAAUCUAGCGCAGGGUAGCUUCUCGCCACUGGCUUUUCAACCAAGCGCGGUGACCAAUUGUGCGAAUCAACGGAUCCUCUCGUACUAGGUUGAAUUACUAUUGCGACGCGGCCAUCAGUAGGGUAAAACUAACCUGUCUCACGAUGGUCUAAACCUAGCUUACGUUUCCUAUUUGUGGUUGAACAAUCCAACACUUGGUGAAUUCUGCUUCAAUGAUAGGAAGAGCCGACAUCGAAGGAUCAAAAAGUAAAGUCGCUAUGAACGCUUGGCUGCCACAAGCCAGUUAUCCCUGUGGUAACUUUUCUGACACCUCUAGCUUCAAAUUCCGAAGGUCUAAAGGAUCGAUAGGCCACGCUUUCACGGUUCGUAUUCGUACUAGAAAUCAGAAUCAAACGAGCUUUUACCCUUUUGUUCCACAUAAGAUUUCUGUUCUCGUGGAGCUCAUCUUAGGACACCUGUGUUAUCUUUUAACAAAUGUGUCACCCCAGCCAAACUCCCCACCUGACAAUGUCUUCAGCCUCGAUCGGCCGGUCGAAGCCGACCUUGGGUCCAAAAAGAGGGGCCGUGCCCCCUCUGACUCACGGAAUAAGUAAAAUAAUGUUAAAAGUAGUGGUAUUUCAAUUUCGCUUGAGAGCUCCCACUUAUCCUACACCUCUUAAGUCAUUUCUCAAAGUCGGACUAGAGUCAAGCUCAACAGGGUCUUCUUUCCCCGCCGAUUCUGCCAAGCCCAGUCCCUUGGCUUUGGUUUCGUUGAAUAGUAGACAGCGAUAGUGGGAAUCUCGUUAAUCCAUUCAUGCGCGUCAAUAAUUAGAUAACGAGGCAUUUGGCCAUCUUAAGAGAGUCAUAGUUACUCCCGCCGUUUACCUGCGCUUGGUUGAAUUUCUUCACUUUGAUAUUCAGAGCACUGGGCAAAAAUCACAUUGCGUGAGCAUCCGCAAGGACCAUUGCAAUGCUUUGUUUUAAUUAAACAGUCGGAUUCCCCUUGUUCGUACCAGUUCUGAGUUGACUGUUCAUCGCCCGGGGAAGGCCCCCGAAGGAGCCGCUCCCAGUCCGUCCCUUGGCCGGCACGCGGCGACCCGCUCUCGCUGCAGAAGCAGCUCGAGCAGUGCACCUGUAGCCAAUAGGUUCGAGACUAGGACCCCUGUGCCCAGCCCUCAGAGCCAAUCCUUUUUCCGAGGUUACGGAUCUAUUUUGCCGACUUUGCCUGAGGCUCCCGCACAACCAAGGGCCUAGGUUGCCGAUGGUAUCGAGGCUCCCGCACGACCAAGGGCCUAGGUUGCCGAUGGUGACCGAAGCUCCCGCACAUCCAAGCACCAAGGUGCCGAUGGUGCCAGAGGCUCCCGGAUGACUAAGGGGCUAGGUGUCGAUGGUGCCUGAGGCUCCCGCACGACCGACAUCCUAGGUUGCCGAUGGCAUCCAAGGCUCCAGUACGUCCAAGAAGUAAUGUGCCGAUGCUCCCACACCAUCGACAUCAUAGGUUACCAAGGGUACCUGAUACUCCGGUACGACCAAAGGCCCAAUGUGCCGGAGGCUCUUGUUCCAAAAGGGGAGUGACCGGGAUGAUUCAAAAGGGGAGGGACCGAGACGACUUGUAGCAUCGUUUUUUAUAUUUCGAGGUACCUCGCGGGAGCACCGCCGGGAUGGUUCGCCGAAGCACCGCCGAAAUAGAUCAUCGGAGCACCGUCGGGAACCUAACCGGUGAUGGGGGGCACCAACGUCUGGGCAUGAAACGGGCGUGAGUAGUGCCCUGGACAACCCCUGUUCGCCUCAAUAUCACCUUCCCCCUAAAGAGCUAACAAAACUUGGUCAAUGUGCUACCAGGCGACAUUCAUGUGUCUGAAACAGGGACACUUUAUGGUGCCGACGCUUCUGCACCAACGGGGGCCAAAAAUUAGAUUUAGUGCUCGACCCUCCCGCACAUCCGAUGCACCAAGGUACCGAUGCUGCCCGAUGCUCCGACACAUCAAAGGGGCCGGUAGUGCCCGAUGGCCCCGCACCACGGGAUGACACACACUGUCGAUAGUGUACAAGGCUACCGUACGACCGGGGGCCAAAGAUGCCAGAGGGUUUUGUUGCAAAAGGGGAGGGACAGGGACGAUUCAUUCAUUGUUGGGUACCGGACAUGCAACGGUAUCCGAAUCCUACCUUUGGGACGAUUCAUUCAUUAUUGGGAAUUGAACAUGUAACGGUAUCCGAAUUCAACCUUUUGGGAUUGGGGAGGGACUCAUUACGCUGUUUUGUAUAUCCCGGGAUGGCUUGCCAGAUCAUCGCCGGGAUGGAUUGUCGGGGCACCAACGUCUGGCCAU
rnacentral:lncRNA from 1 species